rnacentral:lncRNA from 1 species
AGAAGCUAAUCCUGAAACCUGGAGGAGGAGAGAAGAGGGGACACCAGAGUUGCCCUCAAAUAUACAAGAGAUCCACAGCUGAAUGGACUGUUGGGAGGUGAUGAAGACUAUGGAAAGUGGGACCUGUUGGAGGAACGAGGACACUGAGGGUGUGCCUCUGAGGGGCAUGUUUUGUCUCUAGUGUGUGCACCCUCUCUCCUUCCCCUUCACUCUCAUUCCCUGGACUGCAGAAAAUGAGCAGCUCUGCACCAUGAUACUUCCCACCAGGACAACUGCCUUCCUACCAGCAGAAAAACAAUGGAAUGCCCAUGCACUGAGGCCCCUAAAACUGUGAACCAAGAUAACUCCUCCUUUAAGCUGUGUUUCUUGUGGCCUUUGUCACAGAGAUGGAAAGCUGGCUAAUACCCACCAUCCUCAAAUGGCAGCAGAGGAAACAGAGAAAUCCCUUCAACAUCUUCUUCAGCUAUGAUGAGCCACUGGUUUUAUCUCCACUCCACUCUCUAUGUAUAGAAAGUUUCCCAACUCCAGACCUACUGGCCAAAUGUCCUUGGCUAGUUACCUUUAUGGGCCUCAGUUUUCACAUCUGAACACAGAAGUAACAAUGUCUUAAUGCCUGCUUUGUAGAGAUGUUUUUCACAUUGGAAGAGGUGCACAUAGAGGGAGGAAGUGCUGCCUUUUUCUCUCCUUGUACUUUCCCCUUGGUCAGCUUGUUCUGUACUUCCUAUCCAGAAUGUAUUCCCUGUGCUCUGAAUCCAAUUAGGUUAUUACAACUCUUAGCCUUAUAGGGCGUCCAGUUCCAAUUCUAGUUCUUAAUAAUGUCUCCUAAAGGUCAACAAUAACGUAGGGUUUGUCUCUGUCCCACACGUUGAAGCAAUUGGUUCCAUUUGGUUGGCUGAAUGCUACAGAAAGCAGCCAUAAAUAACCCAAGACAGGUUUCUAAACUCGUAGUAUUUGUCUUCCACAAACCCCAGUCACAGCCUGCUCUACUAACCUUUUCCUAAAUCUACAGCCUCAUCUCCUGUCCUACCUGUCAUUAACCUCCAACUCCACACACCUGUUUUCAAAGUAUCUUUUCAAAAAAUGUGUAUCUCGGGCCAUCAAGAUAGUAAUGUGGGUAAAGGGGCUUGUUGCCAAGCCUGAUGACCUGAGUUCAAUUCCCAAAGCCCACAUGGUGGAAGAACAAAGCCAAUUCCUACAAUUUUGCUACACACACACACACACACACACACACACACACACACACACACAAGCACUGCCAUUAUCAAAUAAAUAAAUACAAAAAGAAUUUGUGUAAUGCUGAUCUCUUUCCUAUGAUUGGGCUCUACAUGUGGUCUUCUUUCUCUCUGGAAUUCAUUUUCUUAACUUCUGGGCAAGCCCAAACCUCUCUCAAAAUAGAGAUCUCCAUUUAAUUGUACUGGUCCUUGGUCACUUAGACUCCAGCAGUUUCCUAAGUUUCCAUGAUUGAAGAAAUUCUAUCUUCCUUGCUCAUCUCCAGACACCAGCAUCUAGCAUCAUACAUGACACCCAGCUGGCGAUUGAUAAAUUGAAUGAAUAAAGACAUGAAACAUACAUGAAAUAAAUAAUGCAUCCUCUC